GCGGAUGUAGCCAAGUGGAUCAAGGCGGUGGAUUGUGUAUCC
rnacentral:tRNA from 1 species